CCUACGGGAGGCAGCAGUGGGGAAUAUUGCACAAUGGGGGAAACCCUGAUGCAGCGACGCCGCGUGAGUGAAGAAGGAAUUCGGUAUGUAAAGCUCUAUCAGCAGGGAAGAAAAUGACGGUACCUGAGUAAGAAGCCCCGGCUAACUACGUGCCAGCAGCCGCGGUAAUACGUAGGGGGCAAGCGUUAUCCGGAUUUACUGGGUGUAAAGGGAGCGUAGACGGCAGUGCAAGUCUGGAGUGAAAGGCGGGGGCUCAACCCCCGGACUGCUCUGGAAACUGUACGGCUGGAGUGCAGGAGAGGUAGGUGGAAUUCCUAGUGUAGCGGUGAAAUGCGUAGAUAUUAGGAGGAACACCAGUGGCGAAGGCGGCUUACUGGACUGUAACUGACGUUGAGGCUCGAAAGCGUGGGGAGCAAACAGGAUUAGAUACCCGGGUAGUC
rnacentral:rRNA from 1 species